rnacentral:rRNA from 1 species
GGCUCAGGAUGAACGCUAGCGGGAGGCCUAAUACAUGCAAGUCGAACGGGUGAAUUAGCUUCGGUUGGUUCACUAGUGGCGCACGGGUGAGUAACGCGUACGCAAUCUGCCCUAUGCUGGGGAAUAGCCCUGGGAAACUGGGAGUAUACGCCAUAGUUCUACGGAUCUGCAUGGAUUUGUAGAUAAAGCUGCGGCGGCAUAGGAUGAGCGUGCGUCUGAUUAGGUAGUUGGUGAGGUAACGGCUCACCAAGCCGACGAUCAGUAAGGGGCGUGAGAGCGUGGCCCCUCACACGGGUACUGAGACACGGACCCGACUCCUACGGGAGGCAGCAGUAAGGAAUAUUGGACAAUGGGCGCAAGCCUGAUCCAGCCAUCCCGCGUGCUUGAUGAAGGCCCUCUGGGUUGUAAAGAGCUUUAGUCUGGGAAGAAACCGUUUUCUGCGGAAGACGCUGACGGUACCAGAAGAAUAAGCACCGGCUAACUCCGUG